ACCCUUCGUCAGCUAGCUUCAAUCAUAGCCAGCCCGAAGCCCAACUAUUGCACGUCUACUGGUCCAUUGUCGUCGAGUUUGUCGCCCAAAAGAUCGCACAACGGUGAGCUUGAAACAGCACCGGCGAGCUCACGAUUCGCAGAAAUCGCGAGGAGCCGAGACACAUCUUGGCCUCGAAGCCCCAGCGGCCCACCCGCCGAACAGUCGGCCGCUCAGGUCGCCAGUGCGAGAUGCCGGAGACGGCGCAACACUUGCGCUCACCUGCCAACCUACUCCGACAGCAAUAGCCUCGUGAUUGAUGGCAUCACGAAGGAUUGUGCGAUCUCCCGGAGUCGCACAUCAGCUUUCUCCUGC
rnacentral:lncRNA from 1 species